AGCAGUCGCCACGGAAAACAGAGGGUGCGAGCGUUAAUCGGAUUUACUGGGCGUAAAGCGUGCGUAGGCGGCUUCUUAAGUCGGAUGUGAAAUCCCUGAGCUUAACUUAGGAAUUGCAUUCGAUACUGGGAAGCUAGAGUAUGGGAGAGGAUGGUAGAAUUCCAGGUGUAGCGGUGAAAUGCGUAGAGAUCUGGAGGAAUACCGAUGGCGAAGGCAGCCAUCUGGCCUAAUACUGACGCUGAGGUACGAAAGCAUGGGGAGCAAACAGGAUUAGAUACCCCAGUAGUCCCUGUCUCUUAUACA
rnacentral:rRNA from 1 species